AACAUGCUGCUGGAGAGGCACUGCAGUUACACCUUUCAUCCCCCAGGGGCUACUGUGGCACCAGAACAUAGGGCAGCCGGCUCAGCCAGCCACUGCUAAGGAAGAGGAGAGGCUGCGUUCCUCACAGUGCCCUGCCAGUGGAGCCAGAGCCAUAGUUGUGCUGAUAAAGAGAGCAGGGCCGAGGAUCCAUUAUUGUGCUACUCACACCGUGCAAGGGAGGGGAAAGCAGGCUGCUCUUCCUCGCUGGGGAUCUCAGGAGCCAACUCCUAGGCCACCCGGCCUGCAGCUCCCCCUUGUGAAGGAUGAGAGAGGUGAGAUUAAAGGGACAUACCAGGAAGGGAUGGGACACAUCCCACAGAUUUCCCUAGAGACAUGCUGGAUCUGAGAUAGCAAUCUAACGGAUGUUAGAGAGGGAGAAUUGGACACAAGAAGUCAUCAUCUAACUUACAGCUGAGCUGGCCCGGCUGUUUGCUUUUUGAAGUCAAUAAGUUACUCACAUUCCAUGGGGGGAGAAUCAAGCCCCAGGCACGGCGGAAGAAUGCCACCACAGGAGAGAGCAUGCUGUGUCAGGGUCACAACUGCCCUCGCUGAGAGCACCACGAUGGGUCACCCACACAGCAGAGGCAAUCCUGUAACUCCGGUGUCCUCAGAACGCCAUUUGCUCCUGCCGCCAGGUGGGGCUAAGAAGUAUCAGCCUCCGUCGUGUGACCCCCACCCAACUGCUAGUGGGUCCCUGGUAGUGGGAGAGGUAGGCUCAUAGAUGGCAGUGAGGUCAAACCUGGGGAUCCAUCAUGAGGAGACGCUCCUGGGGUUGGAGAGUGGAGUCUGCUGAGGGGAACUGGAGAGAGAAGCCACCCGGUGCCAGCUCCAGCACGGCGAGGCCUCAGUGCUGAGGUAGCUGUGUGUGUAUCACCUCCCUUGAGGCAGUGGGGUGAGGCUCUGUGCCCU